rnacentral:tRNA from 10 species
AGAAGAUAUCUAUUUCAAGUACAAUAUGUAUAAGACAAAUUAAAAAUAAGCGGUAGGCAAGGUCAAAUCAAACAUAUAAUUUUACAGAAACUAGCCUUAGACAAUAACUAAAACCAUGGAAAGGAAUGAUUUAUUCUGGAUAUUGGCUGCUAAAGAGCACUGACCCAUAUAUAGAAUGCUUUGGUAAGAAGAGACUCAAUUUCUUAGACUAAACCCCAAAGAUACAGACUUUUGAUGAAUUUAGAUAACAGAGGGUCACUUGAAUCUUCAUUUUAGGCACCUAUUUUGGAAAUGUGAGGAAAAAAGUCAGUUUAGUGGAAAUUGGAGGGCUUCCAAUAAAAACAGUCUUGUAAAUUCAUUCUUUGAAGACUCUUCUGCUCAAAAGCAAUAGCAAUGGCAGACUAAAUACAAAAAGAGAUGACUAAAAAGAUAGAGCCACAGUCAAAAAUUAGUUAAACAUCUCCAAGGACCAUAAAUACAAGAAAAGCAAAAUGCAAUAAGCAGGUUGGAAACCAUGGGGCCUGAAAGUCUUUAGAUCCAGAAGUCGACUGAGGCAACUAGAACUUCUAAUCUCUCAGCAGAACUGACUUCGUGUGAAAGACAAAGGCCAGACUUGCUGCCUGGAAGUGGAAGCAGGGCUCUCUCAUCUGUGUUGAGAAAGGCACUCAUCUGUGUAUCUAGCGAGACGGGAGAAAGUGGUCAUUUUAGAACAAGCCACCACAAGCCAGGGCAAGUUGAGCAGUGAAGUGGCAGCCUGCUGUGUUGGGGUGAUGGCCUCACUUUUGUCAUAUUAAUGUGAGAUACAUAAGCAGGUGAGUGUCAGAGGAGAAUGUAGGAUUGUGGGCAAUCCUAAACCAGUUAGUUAGGUAGAAUUCACCGAAAUCGAAUUAAAUUUCACAAAACUACCAUUGCUGUGUGGGAUGAUAUGACACACAAAAGAAAUAAACUUGAUUAUUUCACUUAUCAAGGCAUUCCUUUGGCAUUGUCUAAAAAUAACUAUUAGCUGAUAGAGCCAAGCAUGUCUGCUCUAACAGGAGAAAGGAAAUUGAGAUUUCCCAAUAUUCUUUUCUUGCCAUGACAGAGACUAGAUUUGUGUUCAAUGAUACGUGUUUUUCUCACCAUUCCAUUGACACUUUUUUAAUCUGAUGAUUUACUUUUAUCCCAUCCCUUAAAACUAAUCCUAGGAAAGAGGUUAGAGAAAUUUCCUGAAUUACCUGGAGCCACAAAGAAAAACUAAAAGCUAAGUUUUUAUUUAUAUUGCUAGCAUUUUUGUUAGAUACAACGGUAUUUGAUACCUUUUAACUUCUAUCAAAUGUAUUAUUUAAAAAUCAUCAAUCUAGAAUUGAUGCUUAAUAAUUUUGUCAAAAAUAUUAAGUAUUAAUCAUUGUAUUAUCAUGAUUUUUUUUUUUUUGAGACAGAGUCUCACUGUGUCGCCCAGGCUGGAGUGCAACGGCGCGAUCUCAGCGGCUCACUGCAACCUCAGCCUCCUGGUUCAAGCAAUUCUCCUGCCUCAGCCUCCUGAGUAGCUGGGAUUGCAGAUGCGCACCAGUAUUAUCACAAUUUAAAAAAGGGUUUUGUAAAAUAUUAACUCUCAAUCUCCACUAAACCUAAAACAUCUCAUAUACACUCUAAUAUCAAAAAACAAAUGGUUUAACUGUAUUUAAACAGUGGGAAUAAACAUAGAGAGGUCAUUAUGUCAAUAUCAAGUUCACUCUAAUGUGUGAGUAAAUUUUAUGAUUAAGAAGUGUUGUCUAAUUGUUUUCUAAGGCAGUGGGACUCACCUAGCACAGCUGUGAAAAUUCCACAUCUUUUCACACUGAAGUUUAAAUUGAAAAAUAGAGGCCAUGUAAGUUUAUGAAGUAUGGUGAUAAAGUUAUUUCGUGACCGUUUUUUUUAAAUGUCUAUCAAUGGAAAUACUGUAACUGAUGUGGUGGUAAUAUUUAGCUACCAGAAAAAAACCAUGGCUAAGCCUUAUGAAUAUUAUCACUUCUCCCUGUAUAGGCCUGCACUGGAAAAGUCAUUCAUUCAACUACAGUAUUACACCUCUCAUGGUAACCAUUACUGGAGGCUGAUUCUUUACCUCUCCACCUCCUUUAAUCUGUAACAAGAGAGUGAUGGCUACAAUUCCACAGACUUUAAACACUGGUCAGCAUUUAAGUUUUUCUUCUAUCUUUCAGGAGGCACUAAGAACAUAUUUUGCACAAAAAACACUAAUAAGAUUGCAGAAUAAAAGUCUCAAUCAUGCAUAUAUUCUUUCCCCACUUCUUUUACUCUUCUGUUGAGUUAGUGCUUAAAACAAAAUACCGCACCUUUCUCCAUCAAUUUCCUCCAUGAAAUUCAAAGUAUUCAGGUGAGGAUAGGUUAUUUUCACAUCCAGCCUGUGUAUCUCGCUGCAUCAUGAGAAGCUCAGCUGCUGCUGUUGUUUUGUUUUUGUCUGAAGGCAGGAUGUGUUUGAUUCUCUUUUUAAAGUUACUCAAGAGAAAAUGUUGACUGCUGUAAUAAAAAUCUGGAUGAAAUUGUAGUACAAUGUGUUCUGAGACUCAUACUCUAGGAAAUGUAUGCAGAGUACACUGAGAUUAAUAAAUGAAGUGGAAAAAUCUUCUAUAUUAAAAUGUUUUUCUCUUGAAA